GAUGAACGCUGGCGGCGUGCCUAAUACAUGCAAGUCGAGCGAACAGAUCAGGAGCUUGCUCCUCUGACGUUAGCGGCGGACGGGUGAGUAACACGUGGAUAACCUACCUAUAAGACUGGGAUAACUUCGGGAAACCGGAGCUAAUACCGGAUAAUAUAUUGAACCGCAUGGUUCAAUAGUGAAAGACGGUUUUGCUGUCACUUAUAGAUGGAUCCGCGCCGCAUUAGCUAGUUGGUAAGGUAACGGCUUACCAAGGCAACGAUGCGUAGCCGACCUGAGAGGGUGAUCGGCCACACUGGAACUGAGACACGGUCCAGACUCCUACGGGAGGCAGCAGUAGGGAAUCUUCCGCAAUGGGCGAAAGCCUGACGGAGCAACGCCGCGUGAGUGAUGAAGGUCUUCGGAUCGUAAAACUCUGUUAUUAGGGAAGAACAAAUGUGUAAGUAACUAUGCACGUCUUGACGGUACCUAAUCAGAAAGCCACGGCUAACUACGUG
rnacentral:rRNA from 1 species